rnacentral:rRNA from 1 species
GAUGAACGCUGGCGGCGUGCCUAAUACAUGCAAGUCGAACGAAGAUCUAGCUUGCUAGAUCUAGUGGCGAACGGGUGAGUAAUACAUAAAUAAUCUGCCCAUAUGACUGGGAUAACUAUUGGAAACGAUAGCUAAUACCGGAUAGGUUGAUUGGAGGCAUCUCUGAUUAAUUAAAGUAGGAUUUCUACACAAAUGGAUGAGUUUAUGGCGCAUUAGUUAGUUGGUGGGGUAACGGCCUACCAAGACGAUGAUGCGUAGCCGACCUGAGAGGGUGACCGGCCACACUGGGACUGAGACACGGCCCAGACUCCUACGGGAGGCAGCAGUAGGGAAUUUUCGGCAAUGGGCGCAAGCCUGACCGAGCAACGCCGCGUGAGUGAUUAAGGCCUUCGGGUUGUAAAGCUCUGUUGUAAGGGAAGAACAUUCAGGAUAGGAAAUGAUCUUGAACUGACGGUACCUUACCAGAAAGCCACGGCUAACUACGUGCCAGCCGCCGCGGUAAAAC